UCCAGUCUGCUCACUGAUAAUUUAAAGAGCCGCAGUAUAUUGACUGUGCAAAGGUAGCAUAAUCAAUAGUUUUUUAAUUGAAAACUUGUAUGAAAGAUUAGACGAGAUAUUUAUUUUCUUUAUUUUAAAUAAUUAAAUUUUAAUUUUAAGUGAAAAUGCUUAAUUAAAUUUAAAAGACGAGAAGACCCUAUAGAUUUUUAUUAUUUAAAUAAAUUUUAUAAAAGAUUUAAUAAAAUAAUUUCAUUGGGGUGAUUUUGUAAUAAAGAAAACUUAAUUUUUUAAAACCAAAAAUAAUUGAAAUUUUUGAUCUAAAAUUUUUAAAGAAAAGAUUAAAUUACCUUAGGGAUAACAGCGUAAUUUUUUUUAAGAGUUCAUAUCUAUAAAAAAGUUUGCGACCUCGAUGUUGAAUUAAGAUAAUAUAUUGAAGUAG
rnacentral:rRNA from 1 species